rnacentral:rRNA from 1 species
GACAGAGGGUGCAAACGUUGCUCGGAAUCACUGGGCGUAAAGGGCGCGUAGGCGGGAUGGCAAGUCAGUCGUGAAAUCUCUCGGCUCAACCGAGAAACGUCGGCUGAUACUGCCGUUCUUGAGGGAUGCAGAGGAGACUGGAAUUCCCGGUGUAGCGGUGAAAUGUGUAGAGAUCGGGAGGAACACCGGUGGCGAAGGCGGGUCUCUGGGCAUUUCCUGACGCUGAGGCGCGAAAGCGUGGGGAGCAAACGGG